UCGUAACAAGGUUUCCGUAGGUGAACCUGCGGAAGGAUCAUUGUCGAAACCUGCCCCAAAGCAGAGAGACCCGCGGACCGUAUCCUAAACGGGCGGGCGAGGCGGGCUAGCUACGGCGAAGCCCCUUCGCUCGCCGCCGGGAGGGCUUCACCCCUCCCGGCACCAACGAAACCCCGGCGCGGAUUGCGCCAAGGACCACGAACAGGAGCGCGUCCCGUGCCGCCCGGCCUCCGGGGGGUGCGGAGACGACGCGUCGUUUCUAAGAAACAGAACGACUCUCGGCAACGGAUAUCUCGGCUCUCGCAUCGAUGAAGAACGUAGCGAAAUGCGAUACUUGGUGUGAAUUGCAGAAUCCCGUGAACCAUCGAGUCUUUGAACGCAAGUUGCGCCCGAGGCCCUCGGGCCGAGGGCACGUCUGGCUGGGCGUCACGCACAGCGUCGCCCCCACCCCCUCCGGGGGGCGAGGGGCGGAGAAUGGCCCCCCGCGCGUCGCAGCACGGCCGGCCUAAACGCAGACCCCGCGGACGCGAAGCGCCGCGACGACUGGUGGUGUGCUCAGCAUCGCGUCGCGUCGCCCUCGCGUCCCCGGGAGCUCAAGCCCCCUCCCGAGCGCGGUCUCUCCGGAGGCCCCGUUCGGCGGAACACGUUGCGACCCCAGAUCAGGCGGGAUCACCCGCUGAGUUUAAGCAUAUC
rnacentral:rRNA from 1 species